CACCCCAGCCGAAGACAUGGCCUUAUCACAAAAUAAAGGCAGGCCAGUUUUGGAGGGGAUCCUUGGGGGGACAGAAACAAAUGCAUGUCCCUCCCAAGAGGCUAACCGCUUCAUACAAGUUUCUGGCAGCACUAUCUCCUUGCUGGAGCCACCAAUGCCAGAUGAUGAUGAUGAUGAUGAUGAUCCAGUGAGUACACUGUAGGCCUGCCGUGAUCCCUGAUGACGACAGUGGUCGGCUGGUCAGGGACCAAUAUGUGUUGAAUUACUUUAGUUAACAUGCUUUAAAUUUCAGUUAUAUAUGGCCUGCAGUGGCAGAGACAUAUAUAUAUUCAAAUUUGAAUUAAUUUGACCUCUUAUAAUUGCACUGUAUAUUGUGUAUACAAGCUUGUAGGGAGGCUACUGCAUGUAUUAAUUUGUCUGUUAAUUUGUUGUGUAUGGAUUUGGCCUGCAUUUAUUUCAGUGUGCAGACAUUAUAUCCAGACUGAUUGUGUAUGCAUUAUUUUGUUGUAUGCUUUUGAUUCCAUGCUUUCUAUCUUGUAGAGUCACUGUGUGGCUUCAGUUUUGAAAGGAGCUGAUGGUUUACCUGCUUUUAUAUAUCCUUAUUCAAUAAAGGAAGAUCAUGUCA